rnacentral:lncRNA from 15 species
AUGAGGACACAGAGGAGAGACUUUAUUUCCUUAGUGAUUAUUGUUCCUUCUAUGUGUGUGUGUGUGUGUUUGUGUUACAGCCCAGACUGGCCAGGAGUCAGUUUCCCUAUGGAGAAAAACAGGUCAACAAUCAGUCAUGGAUUAUCAGACAACGUCCGUUCUCCACAAACCAGAACCAGAACCAGUGACAGUGACAGUGAUGAGUCGAUCAAGAGUGAUCAGUCAAAAGAUGACAACAUCAGUUUCAGAGAAACACUCUCUCCUCUCUGGUCAGAUUUUAUGAUCAAUGAGCAUUUAUUAACAUUUUACACACACACACACACACACACACACACACACACACACACACACACACACACACACACACACACACACACACAGUCAGUGUUAAAUAAAGUACUUGUUAUUACUAUGUGAUAUAGAGCCAUAUAAAUCAGACUCACUGUAGUUUACUGUUUAUUAUCAGGAUCAUUUUCAGACUCACAAAAACAUAAAUGCAACAGCAGGAUUUUGUCUAAUGAAGUUUUAAUAUCCUCUUUUAUUGUGAAACAUAUCUGAGUGUUUGAUUCUUCACACUCUUUAGAAUAAAUGAGGAAAGGUCAGAGCAGUUAUCUAACAGUCAGCUGCUCACUGUUUGACCAUAAGGUGUCACAUACUAUUGUUCAGAUCCAUAAGAACUAAAUGCUUCAGUGAAUUAUCUUAAUGUUCAGGGUUGACUAUUAUUUGAUUUUAGGGCUCUGACUUUUAUUGGAAAUGAGGACUUUAGUUCAAAUGGUUGAAAAUAAUGUGAUACUGACUGUAAUGACCUGUUUGAAUUCAACAUUUACAGUCUGUGAGGGAAACACACAGGUUGAAGUAGUUUGCCUUGUGGACCAACAGAGGGCGCUACUGGAAUUAAAUAUCAGUUUGUCAUAAGAAUAAAUCAGAAUGUAACAUCUCACAUUCAGAUGGUCUCUCAGUAUAAGUGAUAAAUGAGUUCUCAUAUAAAAUGUAGAUAUUAUUGCACAAAGGGAUGCAGUCAGAGUGCUCAUACAGUCACUGUAGGUUGUUCUCACUGUGUCUAAUGUACCUGCAGUUACUGCAGUGAGUCAGUGUGAGGACACAGAGGAGGAGGUUCUCCUUCUGAAACCUCUCUGUGUGAACUACAUCACAGAGUCACAGAUCAGCACUCAGCUCUCCACCAUCUUUACUCAAACCUCUGUGUGUGUGUGUGUGUGUGUGUGUGUGUGUGUGUGUGUGUGUGUGUGUGUGUGUGUGUGUGUGUGUGUGUGAUUUAGUUUGCCUAUGGAGAG